ACAUGGUGAGGAUCCCCGGUAUCUUUCAACCGGUCUCUCUAGAUUUCCUCCCUUCUCCAUUAGGUGGCUAUGAACCAACUGAUCUUUAAUGUUCCUGCCCCGUCUGUAUGUUACUGAUGGAUUCAAGAGAAUGAGACCUCAUCGGAGCAAUUCCGACGUGCCCUCAAGUACUGGCCUACAUGAAUUCCUUUCUUCAAGGAUGUGGGGUGCCAGCUAUUCCAAUGCAGAGCUAACUUCCGUGCGAAGAGGUUUACAUCCUUAAUCCAUAGGAACUUGUCACAUUGUGGGACCGGAGUAAAG